AUGAACGCUGGCGGCGUGCUUAACACAUGCAAGUCGAACGAAGCAUUUAAGACAGAUUACUUCGGUUUGAAGUCUUUUAUGACUGAGUGGCGGACGGGUGAGUAACGCGUGGGUAACCUGCCUCAUACAGGGGGAUAGCAGCUGGAAACGGCUGGUAAUACCGCAUAAGCGCACAGUACCGCAUGGUACAGUGUGAAAAACUCCGGUGGUAUGAGAUGGACCCGCGUCUGAUUAGCUUGUUGGCGGGGUAACGGCCCACCAAGGCGACGAUCAGUAGCCGACCUGAGAGGGUGACCGGCCACAUUGGGACUGAGACACGGCCCAGACUCCUACGGGAGGCAGCAGUGGGGAAUAUUGCACAAUGGAGGAAACUCUGAUGCAGCGACGCCGCGUGAGUGAAGAAGUAGUUCGCUAUGUAAAGCUCUAUCAGCAGGGAAGAUAGUGACGGUACCUGACUAAGAAGCUCCGGCUAAAUACGUG
rnacentral:rRNA from 1 species